CCUACGGGAGGCAGCAGUGAGGAAUAUUGGUCAAUGGACGAGAGUCUGAACCAGCCAAGUAGCGUGAAGGAUGACUGCCCUAUGGGUUGUAAACUUCUUUUAUAUAGGAAUAAAAUGUUCCACGUGUGGGCUUUUGUAUGUACCUUAUGAAUAAGGAUCGGCUAACUCCGUGCCAGCAGCCGCGGUAAUACGGAGGAUCCGAGCGUUAUCCGGAUUUAUUGGGUUUAAAGGGAGCGUAGGUGGAUUGUUAAGUCAGUUGUGAAAGUUUGCGGCUCAACCGUAAAAUUGCAAUUGAAACUGGCAGUCUUGAGUACAGUAGAGGUGGGCGGAAUUCGUGGUGUAGCGGUGAAAUGCUUAGAUAUCACGAAGAACUCCGAUUGCGAAGGCAGCUCACUGGACUGCAACUGACACUGAGGCUCGAAAGUGUGGGUAUCAAACAGGAUUAGAUACCCGGGUAGUC
rnacentral:rRNA from 1 species